rnacentral:rRNA from 1 species
UAGUCCACGCCCUAAACGAUGUACACUAGUUGUUGCCAUGCUAGUCAUGGCAGUAAUGCAGCUAACGCAUUAAGUGUACCGCCUGGGGAGUACGGUCGCAAGAUUAAAACUCAAAGGAAUAGACGGGGACCCGCACAAGCGGUGGAGCAUGUGGUUUAAUUCGAAGAUACGCGAAGAACCUUACCUGGACUUGACAUCCUAUAAAUGAUUUAGAGAUAGAUUAGUGCUAGUUUACUAGAAUAUAGUGACAGGUGCUGCACGGCUGUCGUCAGCUCGUGUCGUGAGAUGUUGGGUUAAGUCCCGNAACGAGCGCAACCCUCGUCAUUAGUUGCUAACAGUUCGGCUGAGCACUCUAAUGAGACUGCCUUCGUAAGGAGGAGGAAGGGUGAGGACGACGUCAAGUCAUCAUGGGCCCUUAUAUCCAGGGGCUACACACGUGCUACAAUGGGUAGGUACAAAGGGGCAGGCGACUCUGCAAAGGGGA